GCCUUGGUAGUUCAGUGGUAGAACAUCCCCUUGGUAAGGGGAAGGUCGAGGGUCCAAUUCCCUCCCAAGGCU
rnacentral:tRNA from 1 species